rnacentral:rRNA from 1 species
UCGAACGAGAAAGUGGAGCAAUCCAUGAGUACAGUGGCGAACGGGUGAGUAACACGUGACUAACCUGCCUUCGAGUGGGGGAUAACCUCGGGAAACCGGGGCUAAUACCGCAUAACAUCCUCAGGGUGCAAUUCCCAGGGGACCAAAGGGGUAAGACGCUUGAAGAGGGGGUCGCGGCUGAUUAGCUAGUUGGUGAGGUAAUGGCUCACCAAGGCGAAGAUCGGUAGCCGGCCUGAGAGGGCGCACGGCCACACUGGAACUGAAACACGGUCCAGACUCCUAUGGGAGGCAGCAGUGGGGAAUUUUGCGCAAUGGGGGAAACCCUGACGCAGCAACGCCGCGUGGAGGAUGAAGCCCCUUGGGGCGUAAACUCCUUUCGAUCGGGACGAUUAUGACGGUACCGGAUGAAGAAGCAC